CUCUCUCUUUCUCCUCCCUCCUCUCACUGCCUGUGCUCCCUGUUUCUCACAGUGACAAUGAGAGUGAAGAGGAUGAGGAGCUGUUGACUGAAGUGGAGUCGGAGGAUGAAUAUCAGUUCUUUGAUGAUCCCAAGGAUGAGAACUAUAUCCCCUCAUCGGAGAGUGGUUCAGACCGAGAGAAAAGGAGAGGGAGACCUCGGAGAAACAGCACCAAGAAGCCACCGCCUGAGGAACCGGUGAACAGCAGGAAACCCCCCAACC